rnacentral:rRNA from 1 species
CGGGCGUUAAGUUGCAGGGUAUAGACCCGAAACCCGGUGAUCUAGCCAUGGGCAGGUUGAAGGUUGGGUAACACUAACUGGAGGACCGAACCGACUAAUGUUGAAAAAUUAGCGGAUGACCUGUGGCUGGGGGUGAAAGGCCAAUCAAACCGGGAGAUAGCUGGUUCUCCCCGAAAGCUAUUUAGGUAGCGCCUCGUGAAUUCAUCUCCGGGGGUAGAGCACUGUUUCGGCUAGGGGGCCAUCCCGGCUUACCAACCCGAUGCAAACUGCGAAUACCGGAGAAUGUUAUCACGGGAGACACACGGCGGGUGCUAACGUCCGUCGUGAAGAGGGAAACAACCCAGACCGCCAGCUAAGGUCCCAAAGUCAUGGUUAAGUGGGAAACGAUGUGGGAAGGCCCAGACAGCCAGGAUGUUGGCUUAGAAGCAGCCAUCAUUUAAAGAAAGCGUAAUAGCUCACUGGUCGAGUCGGCCUGCGCGGAAGAUGUAACGGGGCUAAACCAUGCACCGAAGCUGCGGCAGCGACACUGUGUGUUGUUGGGUAGGGGAGCGUUCUGUAAGCCUGUGAAGGUGUGUCGUGAGGCAUGCUGGAGGUAUCAGAAGUGCGAAUGCUGACAUAAGUAACGAUAAAGCGGGUGAAAAGCCCGCUCGCCGGAAGACCAAGGGUUCCUGUCCAACGUUAAUCGGGGCAGGGUGAGUCGACCCCUAAGGCGAGGCCGAAAGGCGUAGUCGAUGGGAAACGGGUUAAUAUUCCCGUACUUGGUGUUACUGCGAAGGGGGGACGGAGAAGGCUAUGUUGGCCGGGCGACGGUUGUCCCGGUUUAAGCGUGUAGGCUGGUUUUCCAGGCAAAUCCGGAAAAUCAAGGCUGAGGCGUGAUGACGAGGCACUACGGUGCUGAAGCAACAAAUGCCCUGCUUCCAGGAAAAGCCUCUAAGCAUCAGGUAACAUCAAAUCGUACCCCAAACCGACACAGGUGGUCAGGUAGAGAAUACCAAGGCGCUUGAGAGAACUCGGGUGAAGGAACUAGGCAAAAUGGUGCCGUAACUUCGGGAGAAGGCACGCUGACACGUAGGUGAAGUGAUUUACUCAUGGAGCUGAAGUCAGUCGAAGAUACCAGCUGGCUGCAACUGUUUAUUAAAAACACAGCACUGUGCAAACACGAAAGUGGACGUAUACGGUGUGACGCCUGCCCGGUGCCGGAAGGUUAAUUGAUGGGGUCAGCGCAAGCGAAGCUCCUGAUCGAAGCCCCGGUAAACGGCGGCCGUAACUAUAACGGUCCUAAGGUAGCGAAAUUCCUUGUCGGGUAAGUUCCGACCUGCACGAAUGGCGUAAUGAUGGCCAGGCUGUCUCCACCCGAGACUCAGUGAAAUUGAACUCGCUGUGAAGAUGCAGUGUACCCGCGGCAAGACGGAAAGACCCCGUGAACCUUUACUAUAGCUUGACACUGAACAUUGAGCCUUGAUGUGUAGGAUAGGUGGGAGGCUUUGAAGUGUGGACGCCAGUCUGCAUGGAGCCGACCUUGAAAUACCACCCUUUAAUGUUUGAUGUUCUAACGUGGACCCGUUACCCGGGUUGCGGACAGUGUCUGGUGGGUAGUUUGACUGGGGCGGUCUCCUCCUAAAGAGUAACGGAGGAGCACGAAGGUUGGCUAAUCCUGGUCGGACAUCAGGAGGUUAGUGCAAUGGCAUAAGCCAGCUUGACUGCGAGCGUGACGGCGCGAGCAGGUGCGAAAGCAGGUCAUAGUGAUCCGGUGGUUCUGAAUGGAAGGGCCAUCGCUCAACGGAUAAAAGGUACUCCGGGGAUAACAGGCUGAUACCGCCCAAGAGUUCAUAUCGACGGCGGUGUUUGGCACCUCGAUGUCGGCUCAUCACAUCCUGGGGCUGAAGUAGGUCCCAAGGGUAUGGCUGUUCGCCAUUUAAAGUGGUACGCGAGCUGGGUUUAGAACGUCGUGAGACAGUUCGGUCCCUAUCUGCCGUGGGCGCUGGAGAACUGAGGGGGGCUGCUCCUAGUACGAGAGGACCGGAGUGGACGCAUCACUGGUGUUCGGGUUGUCAUGCCAAUGGCACUGCCCGGUAGCUAAAUGCGGAAGAGAUAAGUGCUGAAAGCAUCUAAGCACGAAACUUGCCCCGA